rnacentral:rRNA from 1 species
CAUGGGGAUAUUUGCUAAAGAUUCAUCGCUGAUAGAUAGGCAUGCGUUCCAUUAGGCAGUUGGCGGGGUAACGGCCCACCAAGCCGACGAUGGAUAGGGGUUCUGAGAGGAAGGUCCCCCACAUUGGUACUGAGACACGGACCAAACUCCUACGGGAGGCAGCAGUGAGGAAUAUUGGUCAAUGGCCGAGAGGCUGAACCAGCCAAGUCGCGUGAGGGAUGAAGGUUCUAUGGAUCGUAAACCUCUUUUAUAAGGGAAUAAAGUGCGGGACGUGUCCCGUUUUGUAUGUACCUUAUGAAUAAGGAUCGGCUAACUCCGUGCCAGCAGCCGCGGUAAUACGGAGGAUCCGAGCGUUAUCCGGAUUUAUUGGGUUUAAAGGGUGCGUAGGCGGCCUUUUAAGUCAGCGGUGAAAGUCUGUGGCUCAACCAUAGAAUUGCCGUUGAAACUGGGGGGCUUGAGUAUGUUUGAGGCAGGCGGAAUGCGUGGUGUAGCGGUGAAAUGCAUAGAUAUCACGCAGAACCCCGAUUGCGAAGGCAGCCUGCCAAGCCAUGACUGACGCUGAUGCACGAAAGCGUGGGGAUCAAACAGGAUUAGAUACCCUGGUAGUCCACGCAGUAAACGAAGA